rnacentral:rRNA from 1 species
UACGUAGGGUGCGAGCGUUGUCCGGAUUUAUUGGGCGUAAAGGGCUCGUAGGCGGUCUGUCGCGUCGGCUGUGAAAUCCCGAGGCUCAACCUCGGGUCUGCAGUCGAUACGGGCAAACUAGAGUAUUGCAGGGGAGACUGGAAUUCCUGGUGUAGCGGUGAAAUGCGCAGAUAUCAGGAGGAACACCGGUGGCGAAGGCGGGUCUCUGGGCAAUAACUGACGCUGAGGAGCGAAAGCGUGGGGAGCGAACAGG